rnacentral:rRNA from 14 species
ACCGUCGUGAGACAGGUUAGUUUUACCCUACUGAUGAAUUUGGUACGAUGACAGUAAUGUAAGUUAGUACGAGAGGAACUCUUAGAUUGAAUAUUUGGUAACGCCUUUGGUUGAACAGCCAAUGAGGCAAAGCUAUCAUUCACAGGAUUAUGACUGAACGCCUCUAAGUCAGAAUCCAUGCUGGCAAUCGUGCUACUCUCCUCAACCGAUGUUCGUGUAUAGCGAUAGCCUUCGGGUCAACAUCAUACAGUGCUGGCACUGCCUCUUAAAAGGGCACGUACAGCGAAACAUAAUUUCCAAUGUUGGUUGAGUUAAAUCCUUUGUAGACGACUUAAAUAUGGAACGAGGUACUGUAAGCAUGAGAGAGGCCUUUGUGCCUCGAUCUGCUGAGGUUCAGCCUUUGUU